rnacentral:rRNA from 1 species
GACGAACGCUGGCGGCGUGCUUAACACAUGCAAGUCGAACGGUGAAGCGCCUUCCUUUUUGGUGGGUGUGGAUGAGUGGCGAACGGGUGAGUAACACGUGAGUAACCUGCCCCCUUCUUCUGGAUAACCGCAUGAAAGUGUGGCUAAUACGGGAUAUUCUGGGUCUGUCGCAUGAUGGGUCUGGGAAAGAUAUUGUUUCGGUGGGGGAUGGGCUCGCGGCCUAUCAGCUUGUUGGUGGGGUGAUGGCCUACCAAGGCGGUGACGGGUAGCCGGCCUGAGAGGGUGGACGGUCACACUGGGACUGAGACACGGCCCAGACUCCUACGGGAGGCAGCAGUGGGGAAUAUUGCACUAUGGGCGCAAGCCUGAUGCAGCGACGCCGCGGGAGGGAUGGAGGCCUUCGGGUUGUGAACCUCUUUCGCCAGUGAAGCAGGCCUGCCUCGUUUGUGGGUGGGUUGACGGUAGCUGGAGAAGAAGCGCCGGCUAACUACGUG